GACGAACGCUGGCGGCGUGCCUAAUACAUGCAAGUCGAACGCAGUGGGGACGGGUGAGUAACACGUGGGUAACCUCCCAUCAGAGGGGAUAACAAUUGGAAAAAGGUGCUAAACCGAACCCGAUGGAUGAACCAGCUGUGCAUUAGCUAGUUGGUGAGUGAAAGGCUCACCAAGGCCACGAUGCAUAGCCGACCUGAGAGGGUGAUCGGCCACACUGGGACUGAGACACGGACCAGACUCCUACGGGAGGCAGCAGUAGGGAAUCUUCGGCAAUGGACGAAAGUCUGACCGAGCAAAGCCGCGUGAGUGAAGAAGGUUUUCGGAGCGUAAAACUCUGUUGUUAGAGAAGCGGUAUCUAACCAGAAAGCCACGGCUAACGACGUGCCAGCAGCCGCGGUAAUAC
rnacentral:rRNA from 1 species